rnacentral:rRNA from 1 species
CGGCGGACGGGUGAGUAACGCGUGGGCAACCUGCCUUACACAGGGGGAUAACAGUUAGAAAUGACUGCUAAUACCGCAUAAGACCACAAAACCGCAUGGUUUGGUGGUAAAAACUCCGGUGGUGUAAGAUGGGCCCGCGUCUGAUUAGGUAGUUGGUGGGGUAACGGCCUACCAAGCCGACGAUCAGUAGCCGACCUGAGAGGGUGACCGGCCACAUUGGGACUGAGACACGGCCCAGACUCCUACGGAAGGCAGCAG